rnacentral:rRNA from 2 species
AUCUGCCCUGCACUUCGGGAUAAGCCUGGGAAACUGGGUCUAAUACCGGAUAGGACCUUUAGGCGCAUGUCUUUAGGUGGAAAGCUUUUGCGGUGUGGGAUGGGCCCGCGGCCUAUCAGCUUGUUGGUGGGGUGAUGGCCUACCAAGGCGACGACGGGUAGCCGGCCUGAGAGGGUGUCCGGCCACACUGGGACUGAGAUACGGCCCAGACUCCUACGGGAGGCAGCAGUGGGGAAUAUUGCACAAUGGGCGCAAGCCUGAUGCAGCGACGCCGCGUGGGGGAUGACGGCCUUCGGGUUGUAAACCUCUUUCACCAUCGACGAAGGUCCGGGUUUUCUCGGAUUGACGGUAGGUGGAGAAGAAGCACCGGCCAACUACGUGCCAGCAGCCGCGGUAAUACGUAGGGUGCGAGCGUUGUCCGGAAUUACUGGGCGUAAAGAGCUCGUAGGUGGUUUGUCGCGUUGUUCGUGAAAUCUCACGGCUUAACUGUGAGCGUGCGGGCGAUACGGGCAGACUAGAGUACUGCAGGGGAGACUGGAAUUCCUGGUGUAGCGGUGGAAUGCGCAGAUAUCAGGAGGAACACCGGUGGCGAAGGCGGGUCUCUGGGCAGUAACUGACGCUGAGGAGCGAAAGCGUGGGGAGCGAACAGGAUUAGAUACCCUGGUAGUCCACGCCGUAAACGGUGGGUACUAGGUGUGGGUUUCCUUCCUUGGGAUCCGUGCCGUAGCUAACGCAUUAAGUACCCCGCCUGGGGAGUACGGCCGCAAGGCUAAAACUCAAAGGAAUUGACGGGGGCCCGCACAAGCGGCGGAGCAUGUGGAUUAAUUCGAUGCAACGCGAAGAACCUUACCUGGGUUUGACAUGCACAGGACGCGUCUAGAGAUAGGCGUUCCCUUGUGGCCUGUGUGCAGGUGGUGCAUGGCUGUCGUCAGCUCGUGUCGUGAGAUGUUGGGUUAAGUCCCGCAACGAGCGCAACCCUUGUCUCAUGUUGCCAGCGGGUAAUGCCGGGGACUCGUGAGAGACUGCCGGGGUCAACUCGGAGGAAGGUGGGGAUGACGUCAAGUCAUCAUGCCCCUUAUGUCCAGGGCUUCACACAUGCUACAAUGGCCGGUACAAAGGGCUGCGAUGCCGCAAGGUUAAGCGAAUCCUUUUAAAGCCGGUCUCAGUUCGGAUUGGGGUCUGCAACUCGACCCCAUGAAGUCGGAGUCGCUAGUAAUCGCAGAUCAGCAACGCUGCGGUGAAUACGUUCCCGGGCCUUGUACACACCGCCCGUCACGUCAUGAAAGUCGGUAACACCCGAAGCCA